rnacentral:rRNA from 1 species
GAUGAACGCUGGCGGCGUGCCUAAUACAUGCAAGUCGAGCGAAGCGGGGACGGGUGAGUAAGACGUGGAUAACCUCGUAUACGACCGGGAUAACUGCGGAAAACCGUAGCUAAACCGGCUACUUAUGGAUGGAUCCGCGCUGCAUUAGCUAGUUGGUAAGGUAACGGCUUACCAAGGCAACGAUGCAUAGCCGACCUGAGAGGGGGAUCGGCCACACUGGAACUGAGACACGGUCCAGACUCCUACGGGAGGCAGCAGUAGGGAAUCUUCCGCAAUGGGCGAAAGCCUGACGGAGCAACGCCGCGUGAGUGAUGAAGGUCUUCGGAUCGUAAAACUCUGUUAUUAGGGAAGCGGUACCUAAUCAGAAAGCCACGGCUAACUACGUGCCAGCAGCCGCGGUAAUUC